rnacentral:lncRNA from 1 species
GUUUGUGAGAUCUCAACCCUCCCCCUAUACCUCUAACCAAUGUAGAAAAGUAAAUGCAUAACAAUACGCACAUUAAAAUUCAGUUCAAGAGAAGUCUGAAUCUGAUGUCAGAAGAUGUAACCAAAGAAAAUAAACAAAAUGACAAUAAUAUAUAAAUAACAACAGACUACUAGCAGUUAACUGACAUGCCAGCUCCAGACUUCAAUUAAACUGACUGAAAGAUU